rnacentral:rRNA from 1 species
AUGGCGGGUGCCUCGUUGUCUUCCUCCGGCUCCCACUCCUCCAGCACCCCGACGCCACUCGCCGCCGUCAAGGCCGAGCCCCAAGAGACGCCGGAGUGCCGGCGCAGUGGCAGCCUUGCCAUAAACAAGGGUCGCUGCUGCCAACCUUCUCCUCCUCCCCGCUCCCAUCUUCGCCUAGUCAGGCCGAAGAAGGAGCCGGCGACGCCGCCUGUCGUCGUCAAACAGGAGCACAUCGACAUUGCCGCCGACCUCGAGACCGAUCUGAAGUGGGCACGAGACGACUACGUCCGGGAGGAAAUUGAGCACCAGCGCCGCACCCUCAAGGAGAUAGCUGCAUGGCGUCGCAGCCGGGACAAGGACGGCAUGUCAUCCUCGACGACAGCGACGAGGAGGCGCCGGCGCCGUCCAACCCUGCCCGCCUCGGCGAUCCAUGACAGGGCUGCAGCAAGGACGGCGACGUCCAAGAUGGCGACGGUGACGGCGGCGACGACGACAGCGACUACACCGCCUUCUACCGCCUCCUCGGCAUGCAGUAGGCUCGGGGUGGCGGCGGUGUAA